AUGCACCGAAGCUGCGGCAGCGAUAUGUAAAUAUUGUUGGGUAGGGGAGCGUUCUGUAAGCCUGUGAAGGUGUACUGUGAGGUAUGCUGGAGGUAUCAGAAGUGCGAAUGCUGACAUAAGUAACGAUAAUGCGGGUGAAAAACCCGCACGCCGGAAGACCAAGGGUUCCUGUCCAACGUUAAUCGGGGCAGGGUGAGUCGACCCCUAAGGCGAGGCAGAAAUGCGUAGUCGAUGGGCAACGGGUUAAUAUUCCCGUACUGGUGAUAAUUGCGAUGGGGGGACGGAGAAGGUUAGGCUGGCCGGGCGACGGUUGUCCCGGUUUAAGGAUGUAGGCAGGUGAAUUAGGCAAAUCCGGUUCACUAUAUGCUGAGGUCUGAUGACGAGUCACUACGGUGGCGAAGUAGCUGAUACCCUGCUUCCAGGAAAAGCCUCUAAGCUCUAGAUUAUCAUUAAUCGUACCCCAAACCGACACAGGUGGUCAGGUAGAGAAUACUCAGGCGCUUGAGAGAACUCGGGUGAAGGAACUAGGCAAAAUGGUGCCGUAACUUCGGGAGAAGGCACGCUGGCAUUAGGUGAAGUCCCUUGCGGAUGGAGCUCAAGCCAGUCGCAGAUACCAGCUG
rnacentral:rRNA from 1 species